rnacentral:tRNA from 1 species
GCCUAUAGCUCAGCUGGUUAGAGCGCACGCCUGAUAAGCGUGAGGUCGAGGGUUCGAGUCCAUUUAGGCCC